CUGUAACCCAGUAUAUUUGGUGUACCCAGAAGCUGAUUUGAGAACAUGUGUCACAAUAUAAAAUGGUCAACAAAUAGAUCUCACUGUUAAGAAAACUAUAAAAGAUCGGUGGUACAACAUUCUGUAUAGUGCAUCAUCCUAGCGAUUAUGCUCCCAUAGAUUUUGCAACUCUGGAGCUCCAUAUUUAAAUUUGAUUUUCCAAAGUAUCUAGGAUAGCAAAAAGACUGGCCUUUAAUUUAGCUUCUAUUAGGCAGCAUGCUGAUUAUAUUCCAUGCUAUGAAUGUUUUGCUCGCAAGUGUUAAAAUGUGUUAUAUAUAGUUUGUAGUCGCAAUUUAGAGGUCCUCUCUUAAUUGAUGAAUAUUUCUAUUGCCUGUCGCAAAAUGCCACUACACGGUCAUCAAGAUGCACCAUCGAUUUUGGAUGCAUGUAACUUGCUCAAGAUAUACUGAUCUUCAAUAAAAUAUGUGCUUUGUGCUUUCCCUUUCCAUGGCAACCAUCUGACUUCUCGCUUCUGUAUUUAUUUUUGUGCCAAUUUUAGUACCUAACGCAGAGCCCUCGGUUCAAUAUGAAUUGUUUGAUUAGGUGUGAAAAUGUACUGCUACAGUUCCGCUACGGCCUACUGUAUGGUCACAUGAAUAAAAACAUCAAAGACAUUGGUAAA